rnacentral:lncRNA from 1 species
UGGCAAGGCUUAGAUUUAAGCAGCAAAAAGUAUAGUUUCUUCCAUUGAGCUGUUCAUGAAAUGAUUAUUCUUCUUUGCAGCCAAUUUAUGAAGGACUAUAUAUAUUUGUUAGGUUCAUUAGUUCGUCAAAGGGAAAAUACGUUGUAAGCUGCAGUGAAACAAUAAUGUCUGUUAAUACUUGAGAUCUUGGCUGUGCAUACCAUGAAGUGUUUGUAUAUUUUUUGUUACAUUUACAAAAACAAUCAUUUCAUACAGUACAGUUUAUAUAAAGUAAUUUUGCUGGGCAGCCACUUUUUACGGCGCCUUUUAAUUUUUUUUUUAUCCACAGCCUGUAUAGGCAAACUUCAGAAGAAUUGAUAUCAUCUGCUUCUUCUUCUUCUUAGUUGUCGUACAAUAGUGUUUCGAAUCUAUAUCAAUUGAAACAUAAUGCUUGAAGAAAAGUGAGCGAUUAAUUAGGAGAAACUUGAAUGUAUUGGGAAGUAACCAUUGUUGCAAUUAUGAGAAGUGAGUCUUGACUUUCGAAUAUGAACAUUGAAUUUAAAUCAAGUGGGGUUGUUGGAAAAGUUCGAAAACAAGCAGGGAUCAAGUUUAGUCAUUCAAACUUGGAAAGCUACUUUCAGUUUCAAACAUAUACGCCUAAAAAUUCAGGCAUGCAUGUUGGAACUUGUAAAGCCCCAAGUGUUUAGACACUUAAAUAGAGCUAAGAGCGAGCCUACGUGACCUCUAAAUCCAGUAUAGAUUAUUUUGGGAUGGAUUCGGAGGUGUUGGGGAUGAUUUUAGGCAAGAAAAAGUGUCAUGCAUCGCAAGGGGGAACCCGUGCGCUAGCCUCGUGUCACGUGGAGCACCGCAGGGGGCUACUGCCUCACCCAUGUGGUGGACCCACGCCACGAGGGAGGCAGCCCGCGUUGGGCCUUGCGCCGUGAAGGGGAGGACCACGCGUUCAAACUGUAUAUAAUAAAAAAAAAAUCAUCUCACGCAUGCGAUGUGUUCAAUAUUUUUUUUCCUCAAGUGAUAUGUUCAAAUUAAACUAGUGUUAUUAUCAUUUUGAGUUAUUCAAUUUUCAUAUGAUGCUUUUUCCCUUUUCACUUUUUAAUCAUUACAAUCAAAUUUUAAUUUGUUACAACCACAGUAUCGGUCAAAAUCACAUACUUUUAGAAAUGUUGCAAUCAACUCCAGAAAUUAUUGUGGGUUACAUCAAAUUCUCGUCACUAGAAGGUAUGUAGAACGAGCUUAAUACUUAUGAGUUUAAAGAUAUGUUUUCCCAAACUCUUAAGUCUACAUAGAAUAUCGAUUUCGAACUCCAUUGCGAGUGAUAAUUUGUGUAUUUUACUAAUAUUGUGGUUUUCUUAAUGUCAUGAGAAUAAUUGGGUUUUGAAUGUUACUCUUUUACUUGGUUGUUCACUUAUGAAAAUAGAUGGAAGAGUACAAUAUGGUUUAUGCAUUACGCUUGUUUUCGGUAUGAAUAUAUGUAUGAAUAAAGACGGAAGAAUACAAUUCGAUUUAUGCAUUUCACCUUAUGGUAUUUCUCACUUGGCUCUUAAAUUAUCAUUUUGUGGUCAAUGCUUUAAUUUUGAAAGGGCUAAAGAGAAGAAAAAGAGAUGGCUAAUAUGACUUGCAAGUCUUGGUAUGACGAUAUCAAUGCAGAAAUUGUCAUUUAGAAUCAGAAUGAGUUUUUAGAAAGAUGCAUGGUUUAAAGAACUAAAAUUGGGCUUUAAGAGCAUUAGAUGGUUGCCCAAGAAGGCAUGAGUUGAAAAGCUUAUAGCCCAAAACCGUGUUUUACCGACAUGUGGUUGAUUCUAUCCUGAAAUUCGGAUAAUCAUUAUAUACUUGGUUGUUUCUAACCUGAAAUUUGGAUAAUCAUUAUAUACUUGCUUCGUACCUUUGGUAUGCUAGAAUAGAAUGUAGAGACUCCAAUUUCUGUGACAAACUUUGAUUGAGAUCUUGGUCAACGAGUUAAAGUCGGACCCAUAUAGUUCGUCAUGUAGUAGAAAUGUCGAGAAUACCAUCUAACUCAGAAGUAAAUUGUUAUUGUUGUUGUUGUUAGAAUGUAGAGACUCCAAUUCUUACGACAAAACUUAGAUUGGGGACUUAGCCAACGAGUUAAAGCCGGACCCACAUAGCCCGUGGUGUAGUAGAAAUGUCGAGCAUAACAUAUAACUCAGAAGUAAAGAGUUAUUGUCGUUGUUGUUUCUGUUCAUUUUACAUGCCAAUACAUUCCUAGUAUUGACCGUCUUCGGGCGGUUACAUCAUGUCAUGAUAUAGGUUCGGAGGCUCAGUCUCAUGAUCCAGCGCAACAAUAGAAUUGUCACACCUCUUUUUUACCAGAAGAUACAAUUUGAGUUCGAAAGGGUUUGAUUAUUAAGUGACAAAAAGGAAAAUUUAUUUCAAAAUAUAUUGUUUACAUUCAAAACUCAGAGUUGCCACUUGGCAUAAAACCUGUGUGCCAAGUCACCUUUGAAAAUUUCUUUUCAAAACGAUUAUGACUCUUUAAACUGAUUUGCGAACAGAGAUUUCGGAUAAGAAAUUCUGUUGACCGAGGGAAAGGUAUAAGGCACCCCUCAAACCCGUGGUUCGACCACGAUCGUUUUGUAGAGUAUAUCGGCUAGUAUGACACUAUGAAAUGAAUAGACCAAUAAAACGCAUAAAACAAAUAAACCAAACAAAAUUCAAACCAAGAUAAUGUCAAGUUCGAAUUAUACAGUCCCAAAAAUAGAAAAAUGCGAAAAAUGUAAAUCAUAUUCUAACCCAAUCCUAGACUAUGCCCUACCCGAUACCUCAGGUCUUGAUCAUUAUAAUCUUCCGCCAACAUAAUAUGUCGGGACAUUCCCUGGUGAAUAAACACAAAUUGCCUUGGGCAUUCCCGGCUAAAUGAGUACAUUUUUUUCAAUGCGAGAAACCAACACCAUUCAACAAACACUUCAAACAUUCACAAUUCAUAAUUCUUAAAUUUGCCUAGCCGGCCUACCGUUUGCCUACCAAUUUUAACCCAUCAUGAUAUUUCGGGUUCGAUCCAAUCAACGUCAAUUUUAAAUCAAACAAUUAAUCAAUGAUGCAAGAAGGCAAUUACAUUUUAUCAAUUUUUCAUUUCCGCCCCCCAUAUUUCAUUCUAAAACACAAACGGAAUAUCAAUCCACCAACCAAUCCAUAAUUACGAAAAUCAAACACCAAAUCAAAACAAACAACAAUUCACACCAUCAAUCACGUAAAAAUCACAAAAUUAUGAAGAAAGAGAUGAAAAUUGGACCUCAAAUAUUUUUCAGUUGGAAUAAUCCUUCCGGCUAAAAACGCGUCCAAAAUCUCGAACUGAACCUCAACAAAACAAAUAAAUCCAGCUUUGAUCUAAUCCCCUUUACUUUUCCUCUCCAAAAUCGAACCAGAAAUCACAAGCGGAGAAGACCAGUACCAAUUCCAUAUCGUUUUCCAAUGAAUUUCAAAUGAAUAUUCGCCGGAAAGGGGACGGGGUGACUGUUUUGUUGGAUUUUUUGCCAGGUUUUGGUUUUUCGAUGGGGUUUGGAGUAUGUUGAAGCUAGUUUCGAUCAGGUUUUGGGGAUGGGACGUUUACGGCGAGGGAAUAAGGUUGUUGGCGAGUUGGGUGUGUCGAAUUUAAGGUUGGAACAGUGAUUCCGGUGAAAUUUCGCCGGAAUUUCAGAGUAGUGCAAACUGAUUUCGCUCCCGUUUCUCUCUCUGCUUUUCCCUCUAAUUCUUCACUGCUUUCGCUCAAUCCCUCUCCUCUCGAUCUCUCUUACCUUCAGCUAUUUUUCUGAUUUUCUCUAUCUCCGAUCAUCAGUCUCUCUCUCGAUUUACUGUGCGUCUGUGUGAGUUUCUUCACUCUGUGUGUUUGUGCAUAUUGUCCAGGUGAGAAUAUGUGUAUAUUGUGUAUGUGGGAGUGGUGUGUAGAUUCGUUGUUGUGUGUGAGUGAUGAAUAUAUGUAUAGAGUGUGUUUUCUAUCUGUGCGUAUAUUCCGUGAUGUGUAUAUAUAUUUUUUGUCUUUUGUGAGUUUGUUAGAAAAGGGAAUAAAAUGUGAGAAGGGGUACGGUGCAUGAGAUGGGUAGGGGUAUGUGAGGUAGGAUGGUUAGGGUGGGUAGGAUG